CUGCUGCAAUGCGGCCCAUGCUUUCCCAUGGGAGGAUACCAACCCAACAGAAUAGACCUGCACAAGCUUUCUGGUAUUUUACAUACACGCUGCAGGAUACGGAAUCGUGACAUCAAAGGGUUAAUGUGAAUGAAAACGAUUGCUCUCGUUCUACUUGAACUGAUUACGUUUUGAAUUUUGAUACUGUGAAGCUGCAGAUUUAUCUUGAGACAACUGUUAGGGGGUUUUAAGUAACUCCGUAUCUUAAAUCAGAGCGGCGGAAAGAUAAAAGUUCUCCCAAAGGCUGCUGGAACCCAAUCAGCCAACAGGGACGCAAGGGAUCCUUUAUUGAAGCGUUGGUAAGCAGUGCUUGUUUGCUAUUUUGUUGGGUUUUUUUUUUUGCGUGUGUGCUAACACAGCUCCACGCUUCCCUUGGAUAAGCAGGAACAGCAAUUUUGCUUUGACUUUUACCUGCCUCAUUCGCACUCCUGCUAAGGCUCUAAACUUACAAUCGCCCUGAAGACCCUUUACUUUGUUUCAGUAGCAGUAAUCUGUUGUCAGCGCGACUUAGGUGAAGGCUGGACCCUGCAGUCCUGCCUCAGGAAAUCUCCCAACUCUUUCUUGAAGAAACUUGUUGUUAAGUUGUAUCAUGAAAAGCUGUUGUGACUGCACAGUAGGUAUUAAACCAAACCCUCAGUGUUUUUUGUUUUCUUUCCAGCCUUUUCAAUUACGAGGAGAACCAUUUAACUUUCUAGUAAACAAAAUUAGGCAUUUUUAUGUGGAAUGAGGGGGAAAAAAGUGAGAGAAAAGGGUUUAUUUAAUUUACAGAAAGAUGCAGACACAGGAAUGGUGGAAUCAAUCCAGAGUGAGGAACUCGUCAACCAGGCUGGAGGGGGCCCUGGGCAUCCUGGUCUAACAUUAGAUAUGGAGGUUGGCGGACUUGCAUGUGGCAGGGCGGUUGGAGCUUCAUGAUCCCUGAGGUCCCAUCCAACUCAAGCCACUCUAUGAUUCUAUGAUGAUUCUAUGGUUGUGCAAGCCAGUGAUUGCUGCUUACUUCUUUGUGUAGUGCUGGGCGUACUUCCUGAAGGGGAAGAAGAGAAGGCAUAGCAUUCAGAAGCUGAAGUAGUACCAAAAUGUAUCAAGAUGUGCAUUUGUUCCAUCCUCGGCUGACAGAGCUAUUUAGUUAUGCCCUCAACUAUGUUGAGUUCUUUGCUCUCCUCUAGGCUAUUAUGGUCCCACACAUAGGAAAGACAACUUACGUUAGGGAAUUACUUAAUGUCUCUUUUUGCGUGACUGGACGCAGUCAGAGCCACGAUUUGAAUAUUUUAAAAUCACAAUUUAGUAAGAAUUUGCCAAAAAGAAGUCUCUCUUCCCAUUUCUUAAGGCUGAACGAGUUGGAGCUCAGAUAAAAAUUUGAAAGGAGCUUCAAUCUGAUGGGCAAGUUCAGUGUUCCAGCAUUUGCUGCAAUCCCCAAACAUCACAUUGUUUGCAAACAUGGAAACUUUCCAUGGAACAAAAUCUUUUCAGGAUUGUUGAUCCAGGGCCCUGGACAUGUUUCUUUGGACAUUUCUAAUCCAAGAAGGGUAUUUCACACAGAGGGGAAAGAAAGUUCUCCUUGUGUGAGAUGCUGUCUGGGCAGGUCCCUCAAUUCCAGCUGGGCAAAAAGGGAAAUGCAGUUCAGUUCCUGGCGAGGUAACUCAGGCAAAUAAACAUAAAUUAAUGUUAGCUUGGUCCAAAACAAAGCUUCACAGCCAGAUUCCAGUGGUAAACAUGAGGCUGAACACAUUGCUUCUCACUCAAUGCUUGGCAUUGUCCUCACCGCUAAGAGAAGAGCGGCACUUGGAUGGGCGCAUCUCCAGUGGGGUGGGAUGUGCCCCUCCCCGUGCCCAUGGAACAUGGGCUGGGGGUCACGGUGGGAGAAGCUGCAAUGAGGCAGGGGUGCCCUGCCUGCAUUCACGUCAUAUCACAUGUACCUACGUGCCUUUGUUCAGCCAGCGAGAGCAGACAGCAAUUCUACGAAGAACAGACCCAACCACUCCAGAUGCACUUCACUUCUAAGUGGCUGCCCAUGCCAUGCUGGCAAAUUAAAUGGAAAACAACAUUUAUUCCACCUCUUAUCUGCAGAUAAUGGUGGAACGUUGCAGGGUUUUUUUAGCCUCUUUCCAGUACCUGUGCUUAUUUGUCGAACAUUUUAUAGCUCCAUCGGAAGCAUUAUCCUGCUGACUGUAGGAGGUAUUUGCAGUGCAGCACAACAUAAUCCUCCCCUUGGAGAUUAAGACUAUUACCUCAUUGAUGCUCCCGGUCUCUGCCAGCCUUGGCAUACCAGAGUGCAGCGUGAAUGCAGGUCUGCAGCAUAAUAGCUCACUAUGCUACCAGCUAAGCCACUGAAUGCUUCUACAGUCAUGCCUUUUAUUGCCAGAGUGACAUGACAGUAAUAAUGGAUAAUGAAUUCUGUUAAUGAGAUGACUUAUUUCAAAAGUAAAUAAAGCUCAGGUGUCAC
ensembl:lncRNA